UGGUGGGUCCUGUGCGACAGUACGCCGCGAACCAUGUCAGGUGGGGAACCAAGCAGCAUUAAGUGGAAUGUCUGUGCGACACAGCUAACGCCUGCCACCG
rnacentral:SRP_RNA from 1 species